GCAAACUUGGUCAUUUAGAGGAAGUAAAAGUCGUAACAAGGUCUCCGUUGGUGAACCAGCGGAGGGAUCAUUAUAGAGUGUAAAACUCCCAAACCUUUGUGAACAUACCACUGUUGCUUCGGCGGACGCGCCGGGUGUUCCCCGAGCAUCCGGAGCCAACGCGGCCGCCGAGGGUACCAAACUCUUGCUUUUAUAGCGGACUUCUGAGUACAAAACAUAAAUGAAUUAAAACUUUCAGCAACGGAUCUCUUGGCUCUGGCAUCGAUGAAGAACGCAGC
rnacentral:misc_RNA from 1 species